rnacentral:rRNA from 1 species
ACAGUUCAAAGAGUGCGUAAUAGCUCACUGGUCGAGUGAUCCUGCGCCGAAGAUUUCCGGGGCUAAAACUUACUACCGAAGCUACGGCAUCAGUAAGGAUGGGUAGGGGAGCUUCCCAUACGGGUUGAAGCAUGACCGUAAGGACAUGUGGACAGUAUGGGAGUGAGAAUGUUGGCAUGAGUAGCGAGAUGUGGGUG